rnacentral:tRNA from 1 species
GCUUCUAUAGCUCAGUUGGUAGAGCGCGGCACUAGUAAUCCCAUUAUUGCCAUGCCGAGGUCCACGGUUCAAAUCCGUGUGGAAGCA